AUUGAACGCUGGCGGAAUGCUUUACACAUGCAAGUCGAACGGUAGAGGGGGCAACCCCUCGAGAGUGGCGAACGGGUGAGUAAUAUAUCGGAACGUGCCCAGUCGUGGGGGAUAACGUAGCGAAAGUUACGCUAAUACCGCAUACGAUCUAAGGAUGAAAGCGGGGGAUCGCAAGACCUCGCGCGAUUGGAGCGGCCGAUAUCAGAUUAGGUAGUUGGUGGGGUAAAGGCUCACCAAGCCAACGAUCUGUAGCUGGUCUGAGAGGACGACCAGCAAUCUAGAACUGAGACACGGUCCAGCCUCCUACGGGAGGCAGCAGUGGGGAAUUUUGGACAAUGGACGCAAGUCUGAUCCAGCCAUUCCGCGUGCAGGAUGAAGGCCCUCGGGUUGUAAACUGCUUUUGUACGGAACGAAAAGGUCUCUCUUAAUACGGGGGACUCAUGACGGUACCGUAAGAAUAAGCACCGGCUAACUACGUGCCAGCCGCCGCCGUAA
rnacentral:rRNA from 1 species